rnacentral:tRNA from 2 species
ACUUUCAAAGGAUAAUAGCAAUCCAGUGGUCUUAGGAACCAUCCAUCUUGGUGCAAAUCCAAGUGAAAGUA